CGGGGCGGGCCGGGAGCGGGCGGCGCGGCUCCGGGGCCGGGCGGCGGCGGCGGCAUGGCGGAGAGCGAGGCCGAGACCCCCAGCACCCCGGGCGAGUUCGAGAGCAAGUACUUCGAGUUCCACGGCGUGCGGCUGCCGCCCUUCUGCCGCGGGAAGAUGGAGGAGAUCGCCAACUUCCCGGUGCGGCCCAGCGAUGUGUGGAUCGUCACCUACCCCAAGUCCGGCACAAGCCUGCUGCAGGAGGUGGUCUACUUGGUGAGCCAGGGGGCCGACCCUGAUGAGAUCGGCCUGAUGAACAUUGACGAGCAGCUCCCGGUCUUGGAGUACCCGCAGCCAGGCCUGGACAUCAUCAAGGAGCUGACAUCUCCCCGCCUCAUCAAAAGCCACCUCCCCUACCGCUUCCUGCCCUCCGAUCUCCACAAUGGUGAUUCUAAGGUCAUAUACAUGGCGCGGAACCCCAAGGACCUGGUGGUGUCCUACUACCAGUUCCACCGCUCCCUGCGGACCAUGAGCUACCGAGGCACUUUCCAGGAGUUCUGCCGGAGGUUCAUGAACGACAAGCUAGGCUACGGCUCCUGGUUCGAGCACGUACAGGAGUUCUGGGAGCACCGCAUGGACUCGAAUGUGCUUUUCCUCAAGUAUGAAGACAUGCACCGGGACCUGGUGGCCAUGGUGGAGCAGCUGGCCAGAUUCCUGGGGGUGUCCUGUGACAAGGCGCAGCUGGAGGCCCUGAGCGAGCACUGCCACCAGCUGGUGGACCAGUGCUGCAACGCUGAGGCCCUGCCCGUGGGCCGGGCACAUUGCCUCUUUGCUCAGAAGACCUCCUUGCGUUGGUGAGAACGCAGGGCUUGAGUAGCCAGCCGCAUUGCUUAAAUUUGAUUCAUAUCACAGCAUAAAUUGCACUGUCUUGAUUCCAAACCCUAAACCAGGAAGAGUCGGGCUGUGGAAGGACAUCUUCACCGUCUCCAUGAACGAGAAGUUUGAUUUGGUGUAUAAACAGAAGAUGGGAAAGUGUGACCUCACGUUUGACUUUUAUUUAUAAUAACAGCAACAGCAAACUUGCAUGCUCACAGUACCCAGACACUCUACUAGCUAAAAGUCCUGUAUGCACUCAUUUGUUCCUUGCUGGACGAACUCCGGGAGCAGUGUGAGGCCCGGGGGAGGGAGGGAAGCAGCGGAGACGCUGGAGGAAGAGGGGGGCCUUGCUUCCGACCCAGAGCAGCUGUCUUGCCUUUGGGAUUUGAAGUCUCUACAUGUCUGAUUACAAACGUUAUAUAAAGAUCGCAGUUUCGAUGGCCUGUAUCAUAACUAUAAAGUCUGUAACAUAUGCAGCUAGAAUGUCUACCUUUUACAACCCCACAUUAUUUAUUGUAUUUUAUAGAGCUUUUCACUGGAAAUCUAAAUAAAUGUCAGUAAACCAAAUACAAGUUCAUUUCCAAGGGGACUCAGGAGCGAGCCACACCCGAAGGGUAGAAAGAUCUCAGGGCUGACUCUUUAUUUUUGUAGUUUUGUUCAGUUAAGGCACAGACGUUCUGUUCUCACCUGGCUCGGGAUGAAGGUGAAGACACAGGAUGAGUUGGGUGUGUGUGUGUGUGGGGGGCUUAUUCCUUUUGAUGAGUUCAGUUCUUUGUAACCUUCCUAGACAAAGCAGAGACUGUCCACUAGGCAUUUGCAGAAAGGAUGCCCCUCUGCUGGAGACCCCUAGUGGGCCGCCUCAAAGGCCCAAUCCAGAGGAACCAGUGGAACAUUCCUUGAGGGAACCUGCCCAGGGAGGCCGGCAGAUGGGCUCUAAUGCAGUGACUUCAGAGCCUGCCCCAGAGCCUGAGUGUGGGUGGAAUCUGAGUUCUCAUUCCACUAACUCUUGUUCCCUGAGGCAGAAACCUAUUUAUGCGGGCCAGGAGGUGCUUGACUGUAAAUUCCUAAAACUUUUAUCAUCAUUCAGUUUGUGCCGUCUGUACCUGAGGCUCUCGGCCACGGGAGAACCAUUUUGCAGGUUUAACGCCCUCUCUCACUCACACUGGUUGGCCUUCGUGCCUCAGCUUACCUGAGGGAGCAGAGGUGGUGUCUUAAUCGCCCCACCCCUUGCUUCACCGUCUGCCCACAUUUGGCUGGAGAAGCGUCGAGGCACGGCCAGGUAGCAGCCGGGCCAGCGGCCAGUUUGUAUGCGUGUUGCCGCUGUGGUGGGCCUGGGGUCGUCUGGAUACUUAGGUGGCCGGGAGACGCCCAAGGCAAGGCAGUGGCUGGAGGGUCGCUGCUGUGGAAGGGUCUCUGUGCCAUGUGGCUGUCUUGGAAAAGGUGCAGACACGCGCCGGGGUCUUGUUUGUAAAGGAGCAGCUUGAACAGGGCAGGUGGUAUGAGGCAUCGCAUGGUGGGUUUGGCAGCACCUUUCCUGUGUAUCUGAGGGAGGCCGCUUUCUGUGAAAUUUCUUUUCUAUUUUUCUAUUUUUAGUACUGUAUGGAUAUUCCUGAGCACCACACAUGAUACGUCUGUGCUUGCUUGCAUCUUUAAUAAAGACACGUCCCGUGCCUUGUGUUGCGCGUGUGCUGAUGGGUGGAGAGGGGCAGCAUUUCAGGGCAACGCGAUCGUGCGCCCCGUUGACACCCGGUCCCUGGGGCUGACCGCGGGGGGCGGGGGCACAGCCCCAUGUUGGUUUGGCUGUUUCACUCGGAUCUAAACAUUCCAAGCGGUGAAUCCCCCUCCUUUAUUUGUCCAUUCGUCGUUGCUAUUUCUUAGAAGCUGAAGGGAGGGUUGGGGGAAAAGGAGAUCGGGGUGCAUGGGGCCUGCCGAGAGCCCUGGGUCCCAUGUUUAACGCGGUUCUCGGCCGUGUAUGUGGAGACCUGCCCGGCUGAUUGCACUUGGCCACUUUGAAUUCCAAAGCUCGCCUUCCUGAUCCCCAGCGGUAGGAAAAUCCAGGACAUCAUUUUACCUGACAAAGCUGGGGCUUUCUGGAAAGCACGUUUAUUUUCAAACAGGCCAAUUCCUUUAGGUCUCAGGUGGAACCCCAGAACUGAUGUUGGUCUCCAAUUUCCCUGGACCCCAAGUUCAUCCAUGGAGUGCCCGUUCUGCUGCCCCAGAGGGGCUGCUCCCAGGCCAUUUAAAAAUCACCUGAAAUCAGGCAGAAACUGAAGGCCAAGGUCGUGAAUCCAGAGGCGGGCAGAGCCGUGGUUCUAGCGCUCAUUCCUCCAGUGUCCCCAGCCCUGCACCCUAGCUGUGUCACUUCCUUUCAUGGGUGCAUUUAUUCAGGAAACGCUUGAGCGCCCACGAGGCCCUGGCGCCGCUGGAGGCUCUGGGGUCCAGCAGGGACCGCAGAAGGGCCUGGCCCCCGUGGUGGUCAUCUCUUGGCGGGAGACGAAGUCCCCAUCACAAAACCUGUGUGAGUUUAAGCUCAGGAGGACUAGAAGGGACGUGGU